CUAAAGAUUGAAUUGCUGACACGUCAGCUCUGGAAAUCGUUCGGGGAGGAGUUCCAUCGCCCCGAACCUUAUCUUCUCCCCCGCCGCAUUAGCUUCUGCCUUGCUUAUCCAGUCCCACCUCCCCGACAGUGAGGCGGAGGCCAUGCCGCCGCGGCCGUCGCAGCGUGCGUCCAGGCCGGCCCCUCCGCGUGCUCCUCGCCGACGCUGAGGCACCAGGACGACGCGCUCUUUGUUCCGUCUUGGGCGUAGCCGAGCGCCAGCCGUCUCGAGGUGUCAGGUCGCGCCGCCGCGUCAGGCGUCCAAGGCGGCCCCUCCUCGUGCUCCUCGCCGACGCCGGGGCACCUUGACGCCGUGCUCUCCGUUUCGUUUGGGGCGCAGCCGAGUGCCGCUGCGGCAGGCGUCGAGGCCGCCUCCAUUCGAGCGCUCCUCGCUGACGACGAGCACCGGACCGCCGGUUUUCAGGGUUCAUACUGAGCGGUCCUGCAGCCACGCCCGAGCUGCGCAGCUCGCCUCCAACCCUGCAGCAGCCGCUGCCUUGCCGUGCGACCGGCGAGGCCCCGCCACGACCUCCUACUUUCGUCUUCUCCAGCUUCCUGCUCUCUUACUCCUUGCGGCAGCUAAGCUUUUCAGAGGAGGAAUCCUUAAUGGUGAACUACGAGGUCAGGGGAAAAGUAGCCAAUAGCUCGAGCGGUGCGCUUGAUUCAUGUCACUGUCGCAGGGCCACUGGUCCUUCGGGAGGCGGCGAGGCAGACUGGAAGCAGGCAUGGUAGGCACAGCAGGCGUUUGCGGCAGUUGCAGACAGGGCUAGUAAUUUCAGGCUUCAGUUCAUGGCAGGGCUGAUGACGUGUCAAUGGCGGAUGGAGAUCUUAAAGAAGAACCUGAAGUCCAUUUCUCGUCUUUCAGCUGUGGAGGAGGUGGCUACAUAUGAUACAGAAGACCAUAUUUUUGCUGACGGUGAUGACUCCACAAACGCGAGCAGCUGCUGCGAGUCAACUACCAAAGUCGCUCGUGGAUCCACCACCGACGACGAUGAUGGCGCCACAACAGCUAAGCGGGCACGACUUGAUGAAUGAAAAAACGGCCGCUUCCUCCGGAUUUUGUUUUUUUUUUAUUUUUUCGCACGCGUUUUUGGCUUUUUAAACGGGUUUCUUUUCCGGUUUUUCGACGUUUUGGUUUUCCAUCGAUCAUCCUUAGCUUUUCGACAAAAAAAAUUGCGCGAAAAACACGUUUGUUUCUUCUUUCGCGAGAGUCACGGUUUUGCUUUCGCGAGCUCGGAACGGAAAAAAAUGCAUUUUCUGUUAUUUUCCUUUCCCAAGAGUCACGGUUUUGCUUCUGCGAGAGGUACGGAUGUGUUUUCGCGAGAGUCACGUCCGUGCCUGUCGAAAACGAAAAAAAUGUGUUUUUUGUUUUUUUUCUUUCGCAAUAAGCAUGGUUUUGCUUCCAUGAGAGUCACGGCUGUGCCUUUCGUAAACGAAAAAAGAACACGUUUUCUGUUUUCUUUUUCUUUCGCGAGAGUCACGGUUUUGCUUUCGCGAGAGGUACGGUUGUGCUUUCGCGAGAGUCACGGCCGUGCCUCUCGGAAACAAAAAAAAUGCAUUUUCUAUUUUUUUUCCUUUCGCGAUAGUCACGAUUUUGCUUCCACGAAAGGCAAGGUUGUGCUUUCGCGAGAGUCACGACCGUGCCUCCUCGAAAACGAAAAAAAACAUGUUUUCUCUUUUUUUUUCUUCCGCAAGGGUCACGGUUUUGUUUCCGCGAGAGGCACGGUUGUGAUCAUGAGAGGCACGGGCGUGCCUUUUUUGGAAAGGGAAAAAAUCCGUGCUCCUGAUUCGGUUUUUUCGUGAAAAAAGAGUUCGUCAAAACCUAUCAACAUGGGAUCUAGUUUUGAAGAUCUCGACGCGAGGAAUCCAAUGAUGAUAGCGGUUCGAGAUAUGGACACACGGUUUGAGAGAUAAAACAUUUUGAAUAAAUGAAUUUACGAAAAAAGAAAAACUCUCAUUGCCACAAGUGACGCGAUGCAUGUGCGUCACUUGUCACAACCAAGGGAGUUUGAGUGAUCUUUGCAAUGAGUACUCCUCAACUAGUGAUAUCGACUUGUUGACCA